GGAUGCAGUAACUCUGACUGUAAUAAAGUAGCAUAAUUAGUUGUCGUUUAAUUGAUGGAGAGAAUGAAUGGUUACACGAAUAUUUCACUGUCUUAAAAAAAAUUUUUUAAAAUUGAAAUAAUAGUUAAGAUGCUAUUUAAAAUUGUAAGACGAAGAGACCCUAUAGAGCUUUACUAUAAACUUUUUUUUAAAUAAAUAAUAAAAAAAUUAUCUUAUUCAGAAAGUUUGGUAGUUUAGUUGGGGCGACUGUUUUUUAGAAAUAACAAAAAUAAGCAAUAUAAUAAAUUUAUUUAUUGUAUAAUUAAACAAUUUAACAAUUACUAUAGUAGGCUAUAAUGACCCGUUAUUAUGAUAAACAACAAAUAACGAUUAAUUAAUAAAAGCUACCUUAGGGAUAACAGGA
rnacentral:rRNA from 1 species